ACUGCUGCCCCUGUGGUCAGUGUCCAGCUGGACAGGGAGAGAAGAGGAUAGUUUGGGAAUACAGAGCUGGCCAGGAGCCUCUACACACAAGCUCGAGAGUUUCCCUGCUUCUUCAGCAGCCCCGUGGUGCUGAGGAUUUUCCCAAACGAUUCUUAUUUCCCCUUUCUCCGCUACCAGACUUUUCUUUUCUACCAAAUCAUGGAGAGGAGAGCCCCGAGCCAGCCCAGGGUGGCCUGGGAGGAGGACGGGGGUCCCCAGGAAAGCAGCUCCCCAGUGGAGCCCUACGAGGUGACAAUGGUGCAGCCCCUGCAGACGGCAACCAACCAAUGAAGCAACACGUGAGACAUGAAUCUCUCCAUCCCAUAGAAGAGAAAUGCACUACAGUUUGUCAGCAGCUGUUCUCAUUCAGAUUGGCUGAAAGGAAGGAAGAAGGAAGAAAGUGCAGGGAGACACUGUGGUUUUAUGGCUUGGAUUUACAAACCAUCCUGAGCAAAGCCAGAAAUUACACUUCUGCUCACAGAUGUGUAUUCAUCAAAGGCUGCACCAGAAGAUUUUCUAUCCAAAUUAGAUUAUUUACUGGGGAGCCACCGGGAACCCCGGAGCCAAGGGCACCCCCGGCCCCCAAGGCCCCGGCGGCUUCCCCGGCCCCAAGGGACCCCCCGGCCCCUCUGGCAAGGACGGGAUCCCCGGGCACUCCGGGCAGAGAGGAGACGCCGUGAGUGACCCAAAAAGGCCAAAAUUCACCCCAAAAAUCCCCAAAUCUGCCCCAAAAUCCUCCCCAAAAUUCCCUCAAAAUCCCCUAAAAUUCUCCCCAAAAUCUUCCCAAAAUUCUCCCCAAAAAUCCCCACAAAAUCCUUUCAGAAUCCCUCCCCAAAAUCCCAAAAAUCCUCCCCAAAAUCCCUGAAAAAUCCCCCCAAAAAUCCUUCCCAAAAUCCUCCCAAUUCCCCCAAAAUCCUCCCCCAAAAUCCCCCCAAAAAUCCUCCCCAAAAACCCCAAAAAUCCUCCAAAAUCACCCAAAAAUCCUCCAAAAUCACCCCAAAAAUCCUUCCCAAAAUCCUCCAAAAUGCCCCCAAAAUCCUCCUCCAAAUCCUCCCAAAAAAUCUUCCCAAAAUCUUCCCCAAAUUCCCCAAAACCCUCCCAAAAUCCUCCCAAAAUCCUCCCAAAAUCCUCCCAAAAAUCCUCCCAAAAUCCCAAAAAUUCUCCCCAAAAUCCUCCCCAAAAUCUUCUCAAAAUCCCCCCAAAUUCCCUUGAAAAUCCCCCAAAAAUCCACCAAAAUUCCCCAAAAUUCCCUCAAAAUUCUCUCCAAAUUCCCCCCAAAAUCCCACAAAUCUUCCCCAAAAUC